rnacentral:rRNA from 1 species
UAAAGUUUCUGCAGUUAAAAAGCUCGUAGUUGAAUUUAGGGACCAUCAUGUCGGUCGUGCCUCGGUACGUACUGGCAUUGUUGGUUUCUCCCUUCUGACGAACCAUGAUGUCAUUUAUUUGGUGUUGUGGGGAAUCAGGACUGUUACUUUGAAAAAAUUAGAGUGUUUAAAGCAGGCUCACGCUUGAAUACAUUAGCAUGGAAUAAUGAAAUAGGACGUUUGAUUCUAUUUUGUUGGUUUCUAGGAUCGACGUAAUGAUUAAUAGGG